ACUUAUAUAAUAGACGGAACAUUCGUAUAAGAGGAGCUGUCAGCUCGUUAAAAGAGAUAGAAAUAGUCGGAGAGUGCUUCUCUUCUUUUCUAGCAGUGAGUUGAUUGGUUGCAGCAGCAGGCCGAGGGCGUGGCCGAGAGCAACGAAGAUAGACGUCCGAGAGUCAGUUGAGAAAGAGUGAUAGCAAGAGAUCAUACGAUAUAGCAUGCGCAGCAUGCAUGUAGCACGCGUAGACCUGUGUGAACUUGAAAGAAUGCAGGCGCAAAAUCAGUUGAAUAAAAAUUAUGCAAGGUUACACAGUGAUAUUAUUAUAUUUCAUCAUGGUGCGGUUUUGCUGUAUUUGUAAAGCUGAAUAUGGUGUUCGAAGUGAUGUUUCUUUUCAUUGUAUUCCUAAAAAAGACGAAUUGAGAGAAAAGUGGAUCAAUAUAAUAGGACGUCAAGUUGCUAAGAGCAGUUCUGUUUGCAGUGAUCAUUUCACAGACACAGACUUUCAAUAUAAAAUAAUAAAAAAUGUGCCAAAAAGAUACUUAGUACCUGAUGCUGUUCCCAGUUUACUUCAUCCGAUACGGCAGACAAUGUUACUUACAAGUAAUGAAUCGUUACAUGGAAANAAUAUCGAACAAGCAAUUGAUAAUAGUGAUACUGAUGAUAAAUAUACAACAGAGGUUAAUUCAAAACAAUCUGUUGUUCCCAGUCCAGCAGGAUGAAGUGAAACAAUACUUUGCAAUGAUUCUAACGACGAAUAUCUUACAUCCGAGAUUAAUUCAAGACAAUCUGCUGUUCCUACUCCAGCAGCAUUAAUUGAAACAAUAAUUAGCAGCGAUACUGAUGAUGAAUAUUCUACAUCAGAAGUUAAUUCAAAACAAUCUGCUGUUUCCAAUCCAGCAAUAUUAAUCAAUGAAGAUUCACAAAGUAAUGAAGAUUUUUCAUUAAAAAGGAAAAACAAGAAACUUGUAAAUCCAACUGCAAAGCGUAUCUGCUAUCCCCGAUUUAUUGGAGAUCUUUUUUGUCUAUUCUUAUCAAAAUUCAACACGCAUACAACAGUUCUAUGUAUAGUAAACGAUUUUAGUGACACAAAGAGAAAAAAAUUUAUGUAUUUCUAAGAUGAUUAUAAAAUUUGUGAUAAAGAGAUUUUCCCAAUAAGA